rnacentral:rRNA from 1 species
UACGGAGGGUGCAAGCGUUGUCCGGAAUCACUGGGCGUAAAGGGCGCGUAGGCGGCUCGGUAAGUAGGGGGUGAAAUCCUGCGGCUUAACCGCAGGGCUGCCUUCUAAACUGUCGAGCUUGAGCACGGUAGAGGCAGAUGGAAUUCCCGGUGUAGCGGUGGAAUGCGUAGAGAUCGGGAAGAACAUCAGUGGCGAAGGCGGUCUGCUGGGCCGUUGCUGACGCUGAGGCGCGACAGCCAGGGGAGCGAACGGGG